GACGAACGCUGGCGGCGUGCCUAAUACAUGCAAGUCGAACGAGAGCGCCCGGUGCUUGCCCUGGUCAAUCUAGUGGCGAACGGGUGAGUAACACGUGGGUAACCUGCCCAUCAGAGGGGGAUAACAUCCGGAAACGGAUGCUAAAACCGCAUAGGUCUUCGAACCGCAUGGUUUGAAGAGGAAAAGAGGCGCAAGCUUCUGCUGAUGGAUGGACCCGCGGUGCAUUAGCUAGUUGGUGAGGUAACGGCUCACCAAGGCCGUGAUGCAUAGCCGACCUGAGAGGGUGAUCGGCCACAUUGGGACUGAGACACGGCCCAAACUCCUACGGGAGGCAGCAGUAGGGAAUCUUCCGCAAUGGACGCAAGUCUGACGGAGCAACGCCGCGUGAGUGAAGAAGGUUUUCGGAUCGUAAAACUCAGUUGUUAGAGAAGAACAAGUGCUAGAGUAACUGUUAGCGCCUUGACGGUAUCUAACCAGAAAGCCACGGCUAACUACGUG
rnacentral:rRNA from 1 species